UACGGGGGGGGUAAGCGUUGCUCGGAAUCACUGGGCGUAAAGCGCACGUAGGCGGAUUGUUAAGUCAGGGGUGAAAUCCUGGAGCUCAACUCCAGAACUGCCUUUGAUACUGGCGAUCUCGAGUCCGGGAGAGGUGAGUGGAACUGCGAGUGUAGAGGUGAAAUUCGUAGGUAUUCGCAAGAACACCAGUGGCGAAGGCGGCUCACUGGCCCGGUACUGACGCUGAGGUGCGAAAGCGUGGGGAGCAAACAGG
rnacentral:rRNA from 1 species